rnacentral:rRNA from 1 species
CAAGGUCUCCGUUGGUGAACCAGCGGAGGGAUCAUUACUGAGUUUACGCUCUAUAACCCUUUGUGAACAUACCUAUAACUGUUGCUUCGGCGGGUAGGGUCUCCGCGACCCUCCCGGCCUCCCGCCUCCGGGCGGGUCGGCGCCCGCCGGAGGAUAACCAAACUCUGAUUUAACGACGUUUCUUCUGAGUGGUACAAGCAAAUAAUCAAAACUUUUAACAACGGAUCUCUUGGUUCUGGCAUCGAUGAAGAACGCAGCGAAAUGCGAUAAGUAAUGUGAAUUGCAGAAUUCAGUGAAUCAUCGAAUCUUUGAACGCACAUUGCGCCCGCCAGCAUUCUGGCGGGCAUGCCUGUUCGAGCGUCAUUUCAACCCUCAAGCUCUGCUUGGUGUUGGGGCCCUACAGCUGAUGUAGGCCCUCAAAGGUAGUGGCGGACCCUCCCGGAGCCUCCUUUGCGUAGUAACUUUACGUCUCGCACUGGGAUCCGGAGGGACUCUUGCCGUAAAACCCCCCAAUUUCCAAAGGUGACCUC